rnacentral:lncRNA from 1 species
AAUCCAUAAGCUGCAUAGAAAAGUAACAAAAGGAAAAUAUCCAUUAUUAUAUUAAUUGAUUUAAAGUCUCCUACUGAUAUAUCUUAAUUCACCAGCUUAUUAUGGUUAUAGCAUCUUUAGAAUGCCAUAACAAGAGUGAAAAGGGAAUGCAGCAGCAGACGUAUUAACAUAGGCCAAAUCAAGGAGCAAAAUGAUUUAAAAACUAAGAUAUAGAUGUUGGUGAUAAUGAAGCUUUAUUUAAAAAAAAAAAAAGUUAGUGAUAAUGAAGCUUAAACAGUAACGAUAUUAUCGCUACACAUGUAUACAUGUAUGCAUACCUAUAAUAUAAAAUGGAGAUCAUGCAAUUACCUUCGGUGUGAGUACUAGCUGGGAGGAAUCUAUCCUGAAUUUUGCAUCCACGAGACACACUAAGCUAUAUUUGGAGAAACUACAUGAACGUGCAUGCAUGUACACUUGCACAAAUAGAGAAAGGGAGUUUAGACUGCAGGGUUCCUCUUUAUAAAAAUUUGUACACAUUGCUUUAACUUACCUAAUGUUGUUCCUAAUCCAGAAAAGUAAUGCAGAAAUUAUAUAAUAUGUAAACCCUUGUUACAAGUUUGGAAACAAGAUCUUUAAAAACAACCAUAAACAGAAAAAUACGAGAACAGACAUGAGGAAAAAAUAGGAAAUGCAAUUUAUGUCUGCCUUGUUUUUUAUCAUCUUCUUAUUCUUUUUCCUCGCUAUGCAAAAUAUGUGAAUUUUAAGAGUCCAUGCUUAGAGAUCCUUGAACAUAUAUCAUUUCAAAUAAGGCACAACAACAAUAUUAUCAUCCUUCACUUAUAAUUCUCUACUUGGAUGUUUUAAGAGGGUUUCUACGUCGACUAAAACCAUUUAAUUAUUUCCUAAAAAGUUACAAAAGCCAAAAUGCAAUAUGUAACAUAAUAGGUGACUGUCUAACAAACUUCGCCGUAUAAAAACUCCUCUUAGCUCUUACAAUAAGCAAUAAUUUAAUCCAAUGAGAAAGAUAAAAGAACCAUUUAUCAAUACAAGUGACUAAGACUCUUCAUCAUUUGUUGACAACACAAAUUUAUUGUGUAUCUUUUAGACGCAAGAAAAAGGACCGUUAAAAAAAAACUUCUGUGACUAGAUUGAUAGAAAUACUCAUGCGUACACUCAUUUGAUAUCAGAAUAUUCCCUACUCAAGGAAUACCUUUAUUAUCAACUCCUUGUAAAUCAUCAAAUGUUACUGAAAUUCAAAAUUCAACGAAAAUCUACACAGAAAAUACAUUUAAGUGACCAUACUCUGCACGAAACUAAAGGAUUAUUCCACAAAGUUGAAAGAAAUUCAUGCAGAACCGAGCGGAGCAUAUCCACUAACCAUAACACAGACAACAUGUAAAACCUAAACCACUAGUGGAUACCAAAGGGUCGACUUUUACAAACUUCAAACACAGAACGACUGCCCGAAUCAAUCACUCAAUGCAGCAACGAAUUAACCGAUAACAAAAGCGAAAAAAAAUCAACAAACCGUCAAUUAUUCACACAAAGCAGAAAGACAACCCUGAUGCAUUUUCCGAUCACAGGAUAAAAUCAAACCUUACUCCCUUUCAAAAUCACACUGAACAGAGAGGUUGAUCGAAACCUCGCAAAAUCAAAAACCAAAGAAAUGUACUGAACAUCAAUCUGAAAAGAUCUCAAAGCACCGAAGCAAACAAACAAACAAACUGCAUUGGUUUACGGAAAACCCAAAAAACCAGCGGAAACCGAUACCACCACGAACAAAACCACCGAAGACAAAACCAGAACCAAACAAAAACCACCUUGAAAAAAAAAAACUCACUUUGAGUAAACAGAGGGAAGGAAAGAGGACUAAACCAGCGAUACCUUAGUAGAGAAGGCUUGAGCUCGGUAGAGAGAAGAAACGGAGAGGAGAGCAAAUGGGUUUUGGUUGUGGUGCGUUUUGCUGGUUUUGGUUGGUUUGGUUUUUAUUUCCCCGCCGUGAGCUCUUGGGUUCCUCAAGAUAAAACGACUCUCACUUGCGCUCCUCUGCCCGGCGAGCUGAUAGACUGCCACGUGUCGCAUGACGUCACGCUCUUAAGACAGCGUGAAAUUGCUCCCCUUAUUCUCC